rnacentral:lncRNA from 10 species
AAGGAGCUGAGACCACAGGUGCAGCCAGGCUAUUUUUUUUUGUUUUUGUAUUUUUUGUAAAGAUGGGGUUUUGUCAUGUUACCCAGGCUGGUCUUGAACUCCUGGGCUCAAGAGAUCCAUCCACCUUGGCUUCACAAAGUGUUAGGAUUAUAGGCCACCACACCCAGCCUUUUUAUCUUUUUCUUUUCUUUUUUUGUUGAGACAGGGUGAAGUGUCUGUUGUUCAGGCUGGAGUGCAGCCUCGACCUCCUGGACUGAGGUGAUCCUGACAUGUAAGCCUAGCGAGUAACCAGGACUAUAGAUACGUGCCACCAUGCCUGGCUAAUUUUUUUGCAGAGACAAGGUCUCCUUAUGUUGGCCAGGCUGGUCUCAAACUCCCUUGGCUCAAGCGGUCCC